rnacentral:rRNA from 1 species
AUGGAGACCGGCGUAGCAGACAUCCAGGAGGCGCAGCAGUCCGACACCGGCAAGCUUCCUCGCGCAGGUCCCGUGGAUGGCGUCGACGGGAAUAGUUCUCACCGGACGACAUGGUUGUCAAAGUGCACUUCUUCAUCCUCACGCCUCCAACCACCUUCAAAAGGGCAGAUGCCAGGGCGUGGUCGUGGUCGCGGUGGCUACAAGGUCGGGCGUGGUCGUGGCCGUGGCUCCACUACAAAACGUCCGGCUGCUCCUACAAGGAGGGCAUUUGCUCCGCCAACGAAAAUGGCAAAAAUUUGUGAUACAAGUAGCAAUGGCCAAAGCCAAGAGGAUGGUCCCAUCGAGUCCGUCGAUGAAGAUGGAAAUACAAUUUAUGUUUCCGAUGGAGAAGAAGAUGAUGCCAAAGAGAUGGAGAUUCAACCUUCUACGCGCAAGCUUACGUCUAAGGUUUGGUUGGAAAUGGAGAAGGUGAGGAUCAAUGGAGAAUGGAAGGCCAAAUGUUAUUGGUGUCAUAGGAUACUCACCACAGGAUCGAGGAGUGGAACUAAGCAUCUUGGGGUACAUCUUAAGAUUUGCACUCAAAAGAAGUUGAAGACCAAGCGUGGCAAAACUUUGAGUCGGUCCUCAUUGAAGGUGAGUGCCAAUGAUGGUGGGAAAGUGAGCAUGGAGAGCUACGCUUUUGAUCAAGAGUAUGCUAGAGCGGAGCUUGGGAACAUGUUGGUCUUUCGUGAUUAUCCUUUGUCUAUGGUGGACCAUAUUGGUUUUAGGAGAUUUGUUGCUGGACUUCAGCCAUGA